UACGUAGGGUCCGAGCGUUGUCCGGAAUUAUUGGGCGUAAAGGGCUCGUAGGCGGUUCGUCACGUCGGGAGUGAAAACUCGGAGCUUAACUCCGAGCCUGCUUCCGAUACGGGCAGACUAGAGGUAUGCAGGGGAGAACGGAAUUCCUGGUGUAGCGGUGGAAUGCGCAGAUAUCAGGAGGAACACCGGUGGCGAAGGCGGUUCUCUGGGCAUGACCUGACGCUGAGGAGCGAAAGCAUGGGGAGCGAACAGG
rnacentral:rRNA from 1 species